rnacentral:rRNA from 1 species
GAUGAACGCUAGCUAUAGGCUUAACACAUGCAAGUCGAGGGGCAGCGAAUAGAUAGCUUGCUAUUUAUGUCGGCGACCGGCGCACGGGUGAGUAACGCAUAUCCAACCUGCCCAUAACUAAGGGAUAACCCAGCGAAAGUUGGACUAAUACCUUAUGUAUUCGUUUGAUCUCAUGAGAUUACGAAUAAAGAUUUAUCGGUUAUGGAUGGGGAUGCGUCUGAUUAGCUUGUUGGCGGGGUAACGGCCCACCAAGGCAACGAUCAGUAGGGGUUCUGAGAGGCAGGCCCACCGCAUUGGAGCUGAGGCACGGUCCAAACUCCUACGGGAGGCAGCAGUGAGGAAUACUGGUCAAUGGAGCCAAGUCUGAACCAGCCAAGUAGCGUGCAGGAUGCCGGCCCUAUGGGUUGUAAACUGCUUUUAUAUGGGGAUAAAGUGGGGAACGUGUUCCCUUUUGCAGGUACCAUAUGAAUAAGGACCGGCUAAUUCCGUG